rnacentral:rRNA from 1 species
CUCGACUACAUGAAGCUGGAAUCGCUAGUAAUCGCAGAUCAGAAUGCUGCGGUGAAUACGUUCCCGGGUCUUGUACACACCGCCCGUCACACCAUGGGAGUCGGAAAUGCCCGAAGCCGGUGACCCAACCAAAAGGAGGGAGCCGUCGAAGGCAGGUCUGAUAACUGGGGUGAAGUCGUAACAAGGUAGC